rnacentral:pre_miRNA from 1 species
CAUAUACUCCCUCCGUUCCGAAUUACUUGUCUCGGAAAUGGAUGUAUCUAGAACUAAAAUACAUCUAGAUACAUCCAUUUCUGUGACAAGUAAUUCUGAACGGAGGGAGUAGCAU